rnacentral:lncRNA from 1 species
UUACAGUGAAUAAUAGACUGAAAGAAAUAAAGGAAAUACAAAACUUAGAAAAGAACUAAAAUAAAAAAUAAAAGUUAAAAAUAAAUAUGAUUAAGUAAAACAGGUACAGGCUGUCUGAAGGUGGUCAGAUAGUUAAAGUUUAAAAUGAUUUAGUGACACCAGUGAGCUGAAUUGUAGGGUUUCCUGUAGAGAAUUCCACCUCGCUGGUGCACUGUAACUAAAACCAGAUUUUCCCAGUUCAGUAAAAGUUCUUGGAACCUGGCAGCUGAUCGAAUCACUACAGUGAUUCUAGAUCUUAUUAAAAAGAAAUGAAUGCCUAGUGCCCCAAACCAAAGAUUAAAAUGAUCAUCCAGACUGUUAUCAGUAACAAGUCCACAAGUCAGUGUCUGUCACUGUCAAUGUCUGUAGACUUAUGUAAGUAAGUUUGUGUAUUUGUGUGUUUGUGUGUGUGUGUGUGUGUGUGUGUGUGUGUGUGUGUGUGUGUGUGUGUGUGUGUGUGUAUUAUGCUUGUAGGAUUGUGAUGGUGAAGGAGAUAAGUGAUUCUUCUCCAGCACUCAACAUGUCCAAGCCCACUGUGAACAGCUCUCUGGUGGAUCUGGUCUUAAAGUCUCUGCUUCCUCAGUCCUCUUCUCCGUUAUCUGCAGCUGAGCUUACAGAAGUUAUGGAGACCACACUGAAGACCCUACAGGGAGAAUGGCCUAGUUGGACAGUGGAUGGACGAGUAUCCUGUCAGCUGCAGAAAGUCCUGAUGGUCCUGAUGAUGACCCUGCCGGGAACUCCUGUAAUCAGAUAUGGUGAUGAGAUCAGCCAGUCUGUGAAUAUAUCUGAAUAUGAGUCGACAAAGGACAGAGAGCAUGAAGAUCCAGCAGUAAAGGUAAGCAAAUAUUUAGAAUUUACUUUAUAUAGUGGCUUGAGGGGUUUAGCUGAGCAAAGAAAUAUUGAACAUUGA